AAGUGUGGAUUAAAAAUAUAGGGUUAAAACAAGAUCCAAACAAAUAUGCUGUUGUUUGUGAAGAACACUACUUCUGACAUGUGGAAAAAAGUUGGCAAGAUGGCAGCAGAAAAUUAAAAUGCAAUGCUGUACCAACAAUAUUUAGAGAAGAAAGCGAAAGUAUUUAAUUAUUUAUAUUGGUUUUUUGUUUAUUCACCAAUUUAACACCUAUAGAUAUUUGUAUAACAAGAGAGCGAAGUGCACCUUUUCCUCCCAAGAAUAAAGUGUACUAGUUUACUACAGUAAUCAUUCAAGGGAGGAAAAGGCACUUCUCCCAUGUUAUACAUUUUUCCACCUCCCUCAAAUAAGUCAUUUUUCCAUUUUUAAAAUAUUUAUAUAACUGUUGAUUGAAUACAUGAAUCAUAAUUAAAUACAGGAAUUUAUGUAUUCAAUCAACAAUAGAACUAACAAAAUUUAUUAGAGAACUAAAACUAACAAGUAGGUACAGUAUAACUAUCAAAUUAUUAAUGAAAAAUUUUUAAAUCAAAAUAACAAUUUACUGUUUUUACCAUUUUGCAACAUCUAUAAAUAAAAUUUAAAAUGUAUGGAUACUUACCUAAUACAAAAUAGAGUAACAGUAUAGGGUGUUAAUAAGUUAUUUCAUCUAUGCUAUGACAUAGUAUGACGUCAACAUCACUUACUUUUACUCCCUAGGGAUUAAAAGUACUUUGUUUCCCUAGGGAGAAAAAAUAUGACUAUGCUCCCUACAAUGAGGCCAGGAAAUGUAUACUUUGGAUAGAGGUAGGUGGGAAAAUCUGUUUUAUUCAGUUAUUGUGAUUUGUUUCUUACAAUCAGUUUGUUCUAGCACGAGUUUCAAACGGUCUGAAACCAUUAGCGAAUAGUGGACCAGCACGAGUAGAGGGGAUAGCACUCGUAACUGUAUUAUGUUCUCUCACUGACCAACUGUUUGCUGACUAGUUCGACUGUUUGCUAGAACAAACCUAUUAUUCAAACAAAAUGUCCUCUACGUCAGACUGAUCAGAAUUUUAAAAAUGUGUCAUAUCAAUCAAAUCAAAAAAUUUAAAAAAUUGUUCCUGUAACCAUUUUUAGUGGAAAUAAUAACAGUACUUAUAUUGGAUCAGAGAGCCACCCAAUUCAUUGUUAAAGUAUGAUAAACUAAAAGUUAAACAAUUAGGCAUGCACUUCAUAUUAUAUUUAAUGAAAUAUAACCCACUGGUACUCGUACAAACUUGACGGCAAGCAAAUUCAACAAUUUUUUCCUCAUUUAUUAGUUUUUCACUACCGUUAAGUUUGGAAACAAGCGCUGUUGCCAAAUAAAAACAUAUACAGUCGGAAAAAUGAAAGAAUACCCAUGAACGAUCACAUCAAUCACAUAUUUUGUAUUUGCUGUUUUUUUUUCAUAAAUAAUAAAUGAGAGAGAUAGAUUAUUAAUAAUCUGAAUAAUAU